CUUCACCUACGGGACGCAGCAGUAGGGAAUAUUGCUCAAUGGGGGAAACCCUGAAGCAGCAACGCCGCGUGGAGGAUGAAGGUUUUCGGAUUGUAAACUCCUUUUGUUAGAGAAGAUAAUGACGGUAUCUAACGAAUAAGCACCGGCUAACUAUGUGCCAGCAGCCGCGGUAAUACAUAGGGAGCAAGCGUUAUCCGGAUUUAUUGGGUGUAAAGGGUGCGUAGACGGGAAAUUAAGUUAGUUGUGAAAUCCCUCGGCUUAACUGAGGAACUGCAACUAAAACUGAUUUUCUUGAGUACUGGAGA
rnacentral:rRNA from 1 species